rnacentral:rRNA from 1 species
UACGGAGGGUGCAAGCGUUGUUCGGAAUUAUUGGGCGUAAAGCGCGCGCAGGUGGACUGCAAGGUCUGGUGUGAAAGCCCUCGGCUUAACCGAGGAAGCGCAUUGGAAACCGGUAGUCUUGAGUCCCGGAGAGGGUAGCGGAAUUCCCAGUGUAGAGGUGAAAUUCGUAGAUAUUGGGAGGAACCCCGGUGGCGAAGGCGGCUACCUGGACGGUGACUGACGCUGAGGCGCGAAAGCAUGGGGAGCAAACAGG